GCCCCAGAACCCUGGAGGAAAACAUCGCUGGCGGGGGGAGAAGGGAGAUGCCUUUAAAUGUAAAGAUACAAUGCAAACCACCUCAACUCUGUGAGCUAAAAGCCCAGCAGUGGGCAUCCGUGCAGGGGGCAGCUGCUUGGGGGUAGGCUCUCUGUCCCCUCUUCCUUUUUGAUCUUUUAUUAAGGGCUUGUUUUGGUUCUGUGGUUGCUAUGCUACGGGAGCAUUUGGUGGCUGCUUGGAGAGGCCACGUGGAAGACUGUUUGUAUCAGUUCUACCCUGGAGGCAAGAACUUAGCAGGUGGCCAAGCUUCAGGUUGAGGAGGGAUCCAGAUCAUGGGGGGUGGGGGAUAUCGUGGGGUCUUCAGGAGGAAGCAGGCUGACAACAGCCACAGGGACCCAGCCCCUGGACAUGGCCCAGAGAGAGCCAAUGGACCCCGACGUGCUGUGUGAUCUGUAGAAAGUCUUCCACCUCUCUGAGUCCGAGUCUCCUGAUCUGUCCAAGAAGAACAGGUGCCCAAACAACCUUGCUGGGGUGAGGACAUGGAAGUGAGGAAAGAAAAAUGAAAUCUUUGCUGAUGGUCUAUUAUACGGCACCCAUCAUCUCCUGAAAUCUUUACAAUGCCCCAUUUUGCAGAUGUGGAAGGGGAGACCCAGAGAAGUGGGGUGACUCGCCUAAAGCUGCACAGCCCGGGAGAGAAGAGUUGGGAGUCUCUCGUUAUGCUGAGUGAAAUAAGUCAAUCGGAGAAGGGGAAUAUCAGAAAAUGAUGCUCGGUUUCUAACAGCCUAAUGAUUCUGUGGAGCACGGGCAUCGCACGGCUCUGUCCCAGUGCUGCCCCCACAGGAGCAUUAGCGAUCCUUCCAGCAACGCUGUAAGAAAGCAAUGUCUGAAGAAAGAAAGGAACAGAUGCGCUUUGAGAAGUAGAAAGGAUUGGAUCGCAUGGAGCUCUAGGAGUUGCCCGCGAGGCUCCCAAAGGCCCCUUCCGAGAAGCAGGUGCAGAGAAGUCCCACCCCAUCCCUCAGCUGUUGGCCUCUCUCAUUCAAAGAAAACAGCUUCUGCCUCUCUGCAUGUUCCCCAACUCCACACACUAGCCAGAGGGGGUGCUCUCCGGGGCCAAUCAGAUGGCGCCACUGCCUUGCUCAGAACCCUCCCAUGGCUCCCCAGUGCCUUCAAGAUCAAGCCCCAACUUCUUUCUGUGGUCACCAUGUACCUCCAGGGUGCUGCUACCUGGCCAGCCUUACCUUUUCCUCCUGCACCCUACGGAAGCCCCAGGUCAACCUGCAAAACCACCCACAUCUCCCUUCAGCUAAUACAGUUUUUCUCCCCUGGAUAAUUUUGCACUCACGAUCCCCUUGUUCUGGGUAGCCCUCUCCCCACUGCCAGCCUUGUCCAUGUGAUGUUCAGAGCCAGACUCUUCACCCAGGUGCACAAAGCUGCCUGGGGAAAGCCUGAAACGCUGUGCCAAAAAAGUUGGAGGAUGGGCCCUUCUCCACUUCCCCCAUCUGAUUUCCUGCAGUCUGUUUGCUGGUCAACAGCUUGCA
rnacentral:lncRNA from 1 species